rnacentral:lncRNA from 1 species
CACGUUGCUUCCUAUAACACAUGACAUAAUAGGCAGCUUCUCCUUGGCUACCACCAGAGAGAACAUAGGGGUCAAGACACAACAUUCUCUCCUGCAUACAAUUUCUAAGUCAUAUUAGCAACUAAUGGCAUCUUUCCCCCGGUCAAAUGCUUUUAGGGCUUGGGCUUCCCUACCAGUGAGGUCUGAGAGCCACCCACAUCAGUGUCAGCAGCUUUGUCUUUGCCUGAAGGAGGGAUGA